ACAUAAAAAGCGAAAAAGUUGCAUACGGUUUCGGCCCGUAAUUUGGGAGUGUGAGUCUUCCUUUAUGUU
rnacentral:tRNA from 2 species